CCCUUAGAUGUUCUGGGCCGCACGCGCGCUACACUGAUGCAUUCAACAAGCCUAGCCUUGACCGAGAGGUCCGGGUAAUCUUUGAAACUGCAUCGUGAUGGGGCUAGAUUAUUGCAAUUAUUAAUCUUCAACGAGGAAUGCCUAGUAAGCGUGAUUCAUCAAAUCGCGUUGAUUACGUCCCUGCCCUUUGUACACACCGCCCGUCGCUCCUGCCGAUUGAAUGUGUUGGUGAGGAGCUCGGAUUGGCAGCAGUUGGUGGUUCGCCACCGGCUAUUGCUGAGAAGUCCUCCAAACCGCCCCAUUUAGAGGAAGGAGAAGUCGUAACA
rnacentral:rRNA from 1 species